rnacentral:rRNA from 1 species
AUGUCGGCUUCCACGCCCGUGAACAUGUACGAGAGGGUGUUCAGAGACUGCACCGGGCUGCAGGUGCUUCACCUCACGUCCUGCUGCUGUGCACAUAGCACUCUGGUGGUGGACGUGCCAUGUUCACAUAUAAGGGAGCUCGUCCUGGAAGAGUGCUCGUUCUCUGUGAUCGAGCUGCGCGACCUCCCAAUGCUUGUCUGCCUGGCGUGCUGUCUAACCGACACUUCAAAGAUUCUAUUUGGCUCUAUUCCGAGCCUCAUGGACACUAACCUCUCAUUUUCUCUAGAGGAUGAUACUAUAGUGGAGGCACGGGGGAGAGAUGAGUUCGACUCGUUCCUCGGUAUGUCCCCCACCAUGGCGAACCUCGUCAUCCGAUUUACUGGGCAGAGAAGAUGGAUUCGAGCCAGCCGUCCGGAGAGGAAGUUGCCGCACCUGAAAAGGCUCCUGGUCGCUGACGUGCCUUCAAAUUGGGAUAUCUCAUGGACACGUGGCCUCCUCAUGGCCUCGACAUUUCUUGAGGUCCUGCAUAUCCACGUGCCUCACUCGGAAACGGAGCCAGAUUACCUGCGCGGGAUGAAUUGGUACAAAUCACGCAAUGAGCUUCGACACCAUCACCUCAAAGAGUUGGUCGUGAUUGGAUUCACGCAGCGUCACAUAUGGCUUUUGAAGUAUGUUGUGAGGGUGUGCACAUCGUUGCAACGCGUUGUUUUGCUAAAGGAUGGCCAUGUUCGGUACAAUGGACUCUGGGAUUGGCGGAUGGUUGGGCAGCAAACAUGUCCAUGGAGCGAUGAUGAAAUAAGGGUGGUGAGAAGAAUGAUGAAUUUUUUUGGGCUCAGGCCUCUUCCUGAACUGAUCUUGGGAUGA